rnacentral:rRNA from 1 species
AAUCAACGCUGGCGGCGUGCCUCAGACAUGCAAGUCGAACGAUUAAAGCUCUCUUCGGAGAGUGCAUAAAGUGGCGCACGGGUAAGUAACACGUAAGUAAUCUACCCUCGAGUGGGGAAUAACGUCCGGAAACGGACGCUAAUACCGCAUAAUGCAGCGGCAUCGCAAGAUGACAGUUGUUAAAGAUUUAUCGCUUGAAGAGGAGCUUGCGGCAGAUUAGCUAGUUGGUAAGGUAAUGGCUUACCAAGGCUACGAUCUGUAACCGGUCUAAGAGGACGGUCGGUCACACUGACACUGAAUAACGGGUCAGACUCCUACGGGAGGCAGCAGUCGGGAAUUUUGGGCAAUGGGCGAAAGCCUGACCCAGCAACGCCGCGUGAAGGAUGAAGUAUUUCGGUAU